ACGGCUCAGUAACACGUGGACAAUCUAACCUAUGGAAGAGGAUACCCCGGGAAACUGGGGAUAAUACUCUAUAGACUAUGGAUGCUGGAAUGCUUUGUAGUCGAAAGGUCCGCCGCCAUAGGAUGGGUCUGCGGCCGAUUAGGUUGUUGUUGGGGUAACGGCCCAACAAGCCUGUAAUCGGUACGGGUUGUGGGAGCAAGAGCCCGGAGAUGGAUUCUGAGACACGAAUCCAGGCCCUACGGGGCGCAGCAGGCGCGAAAACUUUACAAUGCGGGAAACCGUGAUAGGGGAACUCUGAGUGCCCGUUAAAUCGGGCUGUCCAUUUGUUUAAAUAACAAGUGAAGAAGGGGCCGGGCAAGACCGGUGCCAGCCGCCGCGGUAAUACCGGCGGCUCGAGUGGUGGCCACUAUUACCGGGCUUAAAGCGUUCGUAGCUGGUUUGUUAAGUCUCUGGGGAAAUCUUCCGGCUCAACCGGAAGGCGUCUCAGGGAUACUGGCAGACUAGGGACCGGGAGAGGUGAGGGGUACUCCAGGGGUAGGAGUGAAAUCCUGUAAUCCUUGGGGGACCACCUGUGGCGAAGGCGCCUCACCAGAACGGCUCCGACAGUGAGGGACGAAAGCUGGGGGAGCAAACCGGAUUAGAUACCCGGGUAGUCCCAGCUGUAAACGAUGCGCGUUAGGUGUAUCGGUGACCACGAGUCACCGAGGUGCCGAAGAGAAAUCGUGAAACGUGCCGCCUGGGAAGUACGGUCGCAAGGCUGAAACUUAAAGGAAUUGGCGGGGGAGCAC
rnacentral:rRNA from 1 species